rnacentral:misc_RNA from 1 species
GAAAUGCGAUAAGUAAUGUGAAUUGCAGAAUUCAGUGAAUCAUCGAAUCUUUGAACGCACCUUGCGCUCCUUGGUAUUCCUUGGAGCAUGCCUGUUUGAGUAUCAUGAAAUCUUCAAAGUAAAUCUUUUGUUAACUCAAUUGGUUUCUACUUUGGUAUUGGAGGUCUUUGCAGCUUCACACCUGCUCCUCUUUGUUCAUUAGCUGGAUCUCAGUGUUAUGCUUGGUUCCACUCGGCGUGAUAAGUUAUCUAUCGCUGAGGACACUGUAAAAGGUGGCCAAGGUAAAUGCAGAUGAACCGCUUCUAAUAGUCCAUUGACUUGGACAAUACUUUUAUGAUCUGAUCUCAAAUCAGGUAGGACUCCCCGCUGAACUUAAGC